UCAAUCAAACUUCCUGCGAAGGGUCAAUUGUGCCAAUUUUUUUUCCACAUGCAAAGAAAGAAUUGUGCCAGAUUCAAAUAAGUUUUUUUAUUUUCUUUUUUUUUUAAAUUAUGUUUUGGCCUUUUCCUAACCUUCCAAAGUUUUUGUACGGUGUCAGAAGACUUGUAUAUAGACCACAGAAAGUAGUAUGCACCCUUUUUGGAGUUUGAAUUGGGAGAAGAAAUUACAUUGUAUGUAAAAAAAAUUAUUUCAAUUGACAAACAUGCCAGUGUUAUUACCUAUAUAAUCCAGCUUUGUAAAAUAAUCCAAUUCCCUGAUUUUGCUCUUAGAAAGAAAAUAUACUCAUCAGAUCAUGAGCCUCAUGAUACCCCCCACAAAAAAAAGAAAAUUAAUAGAGAGAAAGCUCCACCUACACCAAAAGUCCCGCCUGCACCAAAAGUCCCACCCGCACCAAAAGUUCCAACACCCCUAAAACACGUCAAGACAAAAGGUCCUGUUGUACGACCUCUGCUUACAUCAAGCAAAGCAGUGAACUCUUUCAGCAAUUCAUUUGUUAAUCACCACCAAAGGGCCGUGGAAAAGCCACAGCAGGCCCGUAUUGAGACUUUCCCCAGCUGUCAAGGUAACGGGCUCUACAUGAGUACUGUAAACACAAUGUAAAAGUUGUAAAUUCACAGCAUUUAUGACAACUCAAAAGGCUGACUCCAUAACAGGGUGGGUCAAGUUUCUGAUCGCUGAAUAGACAUCGCUGACAUGCAGUUUGUGCACAAUUAUUAUGCAAGUUGAUAUUCUGAUCAUAUUUUUAUUCCAAGUACAU